rnacentral:rRNA from 1 species
UACGUAGGGGGGCUAGCGUUGUCCGGAAUCAUUGGGCGUAAAGAGCGUGUAGGCGGUCCGGUAAGUCCGCUGUGAAAGUCGGGGGGCUCAACCCUCGAAUGCCGGUGGAUACUGUCGGGCUAGAGUACGGAAGAGGCGAGUGGAAUUCCUGGUGUAGCGGUGAAAUGCGCAGAUAUCAGGAGGAACACCUAUUGCGAAGGCAGC